rfam:Pseudomonas fluorescens ABAC62 scaffold368_001, whole genome shotgun sequence.
GAACGCAGGCUUGAAUUCGUGGGUAACCCGGCAGGACGCCGGGUUAGCCGCACUGGGCCAUGGAUGGCCCAUUGCGGCGGCCCACGGAUUCAAGCCGGAGUGA